AGAGUUUGAUCCUGGCUCAGGACGAACGCUGGCGGCGUGCUUAACACAUGCAAGUCGAGCGGAAAGGCUCCUUCGGGGGUACUCGAGCGGCGAACGGGUGAGUAACACGUGAGUAAUCUGCCCUUGGCUUCGGGAUAGCCACCGGAAACGGUGAUUAAUACCGGAUACGACACAUCACUGCAUGGUGCGUGUGUGGAAAGUUUUUUCGGCCAGGGAUGUGCUCGCGGCCUAUCAGCUUGUUGGUGGGGUAAUGGCCUACCAAGGCUUCGACGGGUAGCCGGCCUGAGAGGGUGACCGGCCACACUGGGACUGAGACACGGCCCAGACUCCUACGGGAGGCAGCAGUGGGGAAUAUUGGACAAUGGGCGGAAGCCUGAUCCAGCAACGCCGCGUGAGGGAUGACGGCCUUCGGGUUGUAAACCUCUUUCAGCACAGACGAAGCGCAAGUGACGGUAUGUGCAGAAGAAGGACCGGCCAACUACGUG
rnacentral:rRNA from 1 species